rnacentral:miRNA from 1 species
GUGGGCUGGGAGCACAGGCACU